rnacentral:lncRNA from 1 species
UCUUUUCCUCUUUUCCUCCUUAGUCCUCCCUGAGAGGAAAGAUUCUCUUGUCUAUCCUCUGUAUCAGCAGAGAAUCAUUCUUAUAAGGAAAAACAACAUGUAAUCAAAAUACAAAGGAUUUUUGCCAGACAUUUGCCUGGGGAAGCUGCCUGUUUAUUGUCAUGGUUUUGUGAUUUUUUUUUGUUGUCGGUAUUCCACAUCAUAACAUCAUGUAAAGCACUGGCAGUUAAAGUGUUAAUGUUCCGGUUCUGUGGGCUGCCGUUUCUGGGUGCUCGGUUUUGGAGGGGAGGAGCUGCACUCCCCAGGGCCCUGUGCGCCUGGAGCGGCUGGUGAAGCCGCCUGGGGGACCGGGAGUUUCUUUGUUUCGUUCGCUGCGGAGAAGUACGUGGUUGCCCUGCAGCUUACAGAGUAAGACUUGGGUUUUGGACUCUCUCACUUUAUUCGACUUGUUGGCCUCAAUUCUGAUAUCAUAUUUAGUAAAUCAACGUUCCUCCUCAGAUUGUUGCUGCUGUUUUGUUUUAGACCCGUGUACUAUUCCCCUACCGUUUCUUCUUUUCCCUUUUUUUUUUACCUCAGAGCGUGGGUCCGCGUGUCUCCUGCCGCGUUAGUCACGGGACCGGGCGGGGCCGGCCCCUAAACCGCCGACAUUUUUUUUUCCGUUCUUUCUUUUCCGGGCCUGCGGGCCUACUCUCACCCUGUGGUGGACAUAGAUGCCGAGAUAACUCCGUGACGCUUAUUUGCUUGAAUACUUGAUUACUUGAGUACAGUCCUUCCAAGACAGGAGAAGGAUGUUCCAGCCAGCCCUGGCUUCCAGUGAUACCAGUUCAAGUCUCAGGACCUGUCUCAGGACAGGGUGGAUCAGGCAUAGCUAUUCCUUUGACGUUUUGUUCCAUAAGUGAAGGUGAAGGGAAGAAAUUCAGUCCCUUCCUUCUGUCUGACUCAUCAUGGUGGAGAAGUUUUGACAUCAGAGUCCAGCCCCCCGGAAACGAAGCGCUGUCGCAGAUGCAGUCUGCCUUUAAAAGUGAGUCAGAUCCAAAUGCAGAUGCUCAGAAGGCUUUCUGGUGCAUAUUCUUCAAUUUCAUAAGUAACAAAAAUUGUUACUUCAUAAAAGGUCCAGGUAUGACAUACCUUCAAGACUUGAGUGUGCAUAAAUUAAUCACAAAGGCACUUGCUUUUACUCUCUUUAUCUUUUAAUUAAAUGCCUAAAAAGCUUCCUCCUA